rnacentral:rRNA from 1 species
CCUACGGGUGGCAGCAGUGGGGAAUAUUGCACAAUGGGGGAAAGCCUGAUGCAGCGACGCCGCGUGAGUGAAGAAGUAAUUCGUUAUGUAAAGCUCUGUCAGCAGGGAAGAAAAUGACGGUACCUAAGUAGUAAGCACCGGCUAACUACGUGACAGCAGACGCGGUAAUACGUCGGGGGAGAGCGUUAUCCGGUUUUACUGGGUGUAAAGGGAACGUAGACGGCAGUGCAAGUCUGGAGUGAAAGGCGCGGGCUCAACCCCCGGACUGCUCUGGAAACUGUACGGCUGGAGUGUAGGAGAGGUAAGUGGAAUUCCUAGUGUAGCGGUGAAAUGCGUAGAUAUUAGGAGGAACACCAGUGGCGAAGGCGGCUUACUGGACUGUAACUGACGCUGAGGCUCGAAAGCGUGGGGAGCAAACAGGAUUAGAUACCCCGGUAGUC